AUUGAACGCUGGCGGCAGGCCUAACACAUGCAAGUCGAGCGAGUGGCGGACGGGUGAGUAAUGUAUGGGGAUCUGCCCGAUAGAGGGGGAUAACUACUGGAAACGGUGGCUAAUACCGCAUACUAUCCGAUGAACCCAUAUGGGAUUAGCUAGUUGGUGGGGUAAAGGCUCACCUAGGCGACGAUCUCGAGCUGGUCUGAGAGGAUGAUCAGCAACACGGGGACUGAGAAACGGACCAGACUCCUACGGGAGGCAGCAGUGGGGAAUAUUGCACAAUGGGCGCAAGCCUGAUGCAGCCAUGCCGCGUGUAUGAAGAAGGCCUUCGGGUUGUAAAGUACGUUCAGCGGGGAGGCGUUACCCGCAGAAGAAGCACCGGCUAACUCCGUGCCAGCAGCCGCGGUAAUUC
rnacentral:rRNA from 1 species